rnacentral:rRNA from 1 species
CUAGCUACAGGCUUAACACAUGCAAGUCGAGGGGCAGCAUGGUCUUAGCUUGCUAAGGCUGAUGGCGACCGGCGCACGGGUGAGUAACACGUAUCCAACCUGCCGUCUACUCUUGGCCAGCCUUCUGAAAGGAAGAUUAACCCAGGAUGGGAUCAUGAGUUCACAUGUCCGCAUGAUUAAAGGUAUUUUCCGGUAGACGAUGGGGAUGCGUUCCAUUAGAUAGUAGGCGGGGUAACGGCCCACCUAGUCAACGAUGGAUAGGGGUUCUGAGAGGAAGGUCCCCCACAUUGGAACUGAGACACGGUCCAAACUCCUACGGGAGGCAGCAGUGAGGAAUAUUGGUCAAUGGGCGAUGGCCUGAACCAGCCAAGUAGCGUGAAGGAUGACUGCCCUAUGGGUUGUAAACUUCUUUUAUAAAGGAAUAAAGUCGGGUAUGCAUACCCGUUUGCAUGUACUUUAUGGAUAAGGAUCGGCUAACUCCGUGCCAGCAGCCGCGGUAAUACGGAGGAUCCGAGCGUUAUCCGGAUUUAUUGGGUUUAAAGGGAGCGUAGAUGGAUGUUUAAGUCAGUUGUGAAAGUUUGCGGCUCAACCGUAAAAUUGCAGUUGAUACUGGAUGUCUUGAGUGCAGUUGAGGCAGGCGGAAUUCGUGGUGUAGCGGUGAAAUGCUUAGAUAUCACGAAGAACUCCGACUGCGAAGGCAGCCUGCUAAGCUGCAACUGAC